CAAUAGCGUAUAUUAAAGUUGUUGCAGUUAAAAAGCUCGUAGUUGGAUUUCUGGUAGGAGCGACCGUGCCGAACUUGAUUGUUCGAGUAUUGUGUUGUCUUCAGCCAUCCUCGUGGAGAACUUUUCUAACAUUAACUUGUUGGGAUUGGGACCCGCGUCGUUUACUGUGAAAAAAUUAGAGUGUUUAAAGCAGGCAUUAGCUUGAAUACAUUAGCAUGGAAUAAUAAGAUAGGACUUUGGUACUAUUUUGUUGGUUUGCAUACCAAAUUAAUGAUCAACAGGAACAGUUUGAGGAUAUUCGUAUGAACAUGUCAGAGGUGAAAUUCUUGGAUUUUGAUCAGACGAACUACUGCGAAAGCAUUUAUCAAGGAUGUUUUCAUUAAU
rnacentral:rRNA from 1 species